rnacentral:rRNA from 1 species
UGGGGAAUCUUGCACAAUGGGGGCAACCCUGAUGCAGCGACGCCGCGUGAGCGAUGAAGCCCUUCGGGGCGUAAAGCUCUUUCGACCGGAACGAUAAUGACGGUACCGGGAGAAGAAGCUGCGGCUAACUACGUGCCAGCAGCCGCGGUAAUACGUAGGCAGCAAGCGUUGUUCGGAGUUACUGGGCGUAAAGAGUGCGUAGGCGGUUUUCUAAGUUCGGUGUGAAAUCUCCCGGCUUAACUGGGAGGGUGCGCCGAAGACUGGGAAGCUGGGGUGUGGGAAAGGCAGGCGGAAUUCCUGGUGUAGCGGUGAAAUGCGUAGAUAUCAGGAGGAGCACCGGCGGUGUAGACGGCUUGCUAGACCAUAACUGACGCUGAGGCACGAAAGCGUGGGUAGCAAACA